CCAAUUCUGGCAGGGGAGACACAUGGUCACGCAAGCGGUUUUUCCAGGGCGAGACUUAUCCAUUGUACUCUGCAUGUGCGUUUCCUGAGAUUUCCCCAGAUACAGAAAACUCCAUAAUCUGUGGUAGAGAGGACUGUGCUCACGCUCACCCCUG
rnacentral:snRNA from 1 species